GUCUGGUCCAAGUGCAGUGGAAUUUAUAAUUAAUUGAACACAGUCAGUUAUAGAUUUCUUUGUUCUUUCUCCACUCCCAUUGCUUCACUUGAUUUGUCUUAC
rnacentral:Y_RNA from 1 species